ACCUCUGUGUUUUAAGUAAAGAGAAGAGUCACAAGUCUCUUACUUUAAAUCGAAAAGUAGAAAUGAUUAAGCUUAGUGACGAAGGCAUGUAAAAAGCCAAGAUAGGUUGAAAGU